CAAGGCAUUCACUUUGCCCCAGAAAACCUUUGUUUUCUCUUUUCCAUUUGUUUUUGGGUGCCACUGUUUGAGCUGGUGAUCUCACUUUCGCCAACCACAACAUAAUUUAAACACACAACAGUUGGCUUUAACAUGUUUUAUUCAGUUUGAAAAAUUCCAAAGUGGACUGUUUUCGGUAUUGUGCUGCGGGCUUAGUGAAACAUAUAUUUCGAGAGCACAUUCCAUGGCGGAUAGCGGCGAUGUCCAUUCUUGAUCAGGAGGACGACCAAUGUCACUGAAAACCACACGGCCCCCACGAAGGGCUACAUCAUCCCGAUCGUAAAAUGCGACCUGGUGCAAAUGAGAUGAAGAAGAGCUUGAUAUGCACUUUAAAUUUUACAUUACCAUAGCCAAAUAUUUGUAAUUGGCAUUCAUCUCGAUGUUAAUUUGUUGAUUGAC